CACCGCCGUCCAUGAUGAAUUCCAGCUCCAUCCAACGACCCUAAAUCUCGAAACACUCCUACCAGGGUUUGUUUCUCAGGGAAAGCUCCGCAGAACUACGAGUAUCGUCGUAUCAACGACACUAGCACGUCAAGCCCGAGUGAUCCGCACGACUGCGGCAAGGAACUCUCUGAGGAACUUAUUAUGACGACGUUUCGACCGAUCCUACGAGAUCAACGACCACCGACGGUGAAUUACUUCGCGACCUUGUCUCUUGCUACCGUGAAGCGUAUUUCGCUCCUUCAACGAACAAGAUUGUUCGUUCGUCAGGCAAACUAUUCGCUCUAUAUGAAAUAAUAGACUU
rnacentral:misc_RNA from 1 species